CUACGGGGCGCUGCAGUGAGGAAUAUUGCACAAUGGGGGGAACCCUGAUGCAGCAACGCCGCGUGGAGGAUGACGCAUUUCGGUGUGUAAACUCCUUUUAUAUGUCAAGAAAAUGACGGUAGCAUAUGAAUAAGCACCGGCUAACUCCGUGCCAGCAGCCGCGGUAAUACGGAGGGGGCAAGCGUUACUCGGAAUCACUGGGCGUAAAGGACGCGUAGGCGGGUUGGAAAGUCAGGUGUGAAAUCCUACAGCUUAACUGUAGAACUGCACUUGAAACUUGUAAUCUAGAGUAUGGGAGGGGAGAUGGAAUUAGUGGUGUAGGGGUAAAAUCCGUAGAUAUCACUAGGAAUACCUAAAGCGAAGGCGAUCUCCUGGAACAUUACUGACGCUAAGGCGUGAAAGCGUGGGGAGCAAACAGGAUUAGAUACCCGGGUAGUC
rnacentral:rRNA from 1 species